AAGUCGUAACAAGGUUUCCGUAGGUGAACCUGCGGAAGGAUCAUUAACGAGGGAAUAAAUAUACACAGUGCAAGAGAAUACAUGUAAUGUAGGCCUUUUGAGUAACUAAUAGUGACAACUUUUAGCAACGGAUCUCUAGGCUCUC
rnacentral:misc_RNA from 1 species